AGAACUGGGAUAGUCUAAGGCCACAUGGAGAUCUGUCUUGCACUAUGUUGACUUAGUUUAGAGGCCCCGGCUGGAGAGGAGUCAGGCCCUUUUCUUGUGGGGUCAAUUAAGUCCGAUCCUCAAUUACCUCCUUGUUUGUCUCUCAGACCCUUGGCCGCUAUUCAGUCGCCAUAUGUGCCUCGGAGCCAGAAACCACAAAAAAAGGUUUUCGCCUACUGCUGCCCUUUAUCCCUCUGGCUCAACUCUGACGCUGGUGCUCCCACGAGUGGCCCCCUGUGGCAUGGCACGCUGUGUUCUCCCCAGGGAACUCUUUAGGAGACAGGAUGUCUGAGGUCAGAAGUUCCCCCUGGUGACCAAACCAGUUAAGACUGAUGAGAUUCAAGAUCCAGCUCACUUCGCCUUUGAAGAACCUCCAACUUCAUUAUAAUUUAUUUUCCAUACUAAAUGACACUCCCACCAGUGCCAUGACAGUUUAUAAUCACCAUGACAAUGACCAGAAGAAAUUAUGAAAGGACAAAAAGGAAGACCACAACUCCGGUUCUGAGGAAUUCUCCACCCAUUCCCAGAAAAGACAAGAAUACUCCUCCCCUUGUUUUUAAUGCCCAAACCCUUCAUUAAAGAUGUCCCAUAUCUGUGACUUCCUGUCUCUCAUUAAUUGAGAAGUUAAUCUGUGAGUCAAGCUCCCACUUCUUAAGUCCAUGGCCAUUGAAUAAAGCCUGCACUGCUUGAUGCUCACUUUUGGUUUCAUGCAUUG
rnacentral:lncRNA from 1 species